AUGUAGGGGCCACUGAAAGUUGUACUUUGACGGCCAAUAUCUAACACCUUGCAAUUUUUUUUGCUCUGAUCUUUAUGUGAUCUAUGAACAAUUGUAGUCUAAAGUUGUCAAUUGACACUUGCAAUUAAAAAAUAAACAUGCCAUGUAUGCGAAGUAGUAUAAACUUAUAAUAAAUGAGAAAAUUAAAAGAAACUAGGGUUUCAAUUUUAGUUGAUUGAAACCGUGAGAAAUAUGCAAAAAAUUAAAAAUUUCACGAUGAACUCUUCAAAAAAGAACGGCUAGAAAUUACAGGAACUAGUUUUUACUACUAAGUCGAAAAGGAAACAUGAAGUUUGCUAUUAUUUUUCUUAUCUGCGCUCUCUUGGGUUUGAAUGUCAAUGCCCAUGUGUGCAAUUCGCCAACUAAUAAAGACGGCAUCUGUAGAAAGUAUAAUCCGUAUUAUACCUAUGAUAGCUCUCAAAACAAAUGUAUUGAGUUUAACAAUUGCAAUGACAACGAAAGUGAAAAUGUAUUUGAAACCCUUACUCUUUGUGAAUAUCUUUGCAAGCUCUAAGGAAUCAGAAGAAUUUUAAGAAUGCAAAUUUUGGCAGAUUGGAUAAACCCAUUCAAUUUUGAUUUUUUUACAUACUUUGUUUAAUUUUUUAUUAAUAAAAACUUUCAUCUUUGAUUUUUUCUGAUUCGGGA